rnacentral:rRNA from 1 species
CAAAAUGGGUGGUAGACUUCACCUAAGGCUAAAUAUUAGCGAGAGACCGAUAGCGAACAAGUACCGUGAGGGAAAGAUGAAAAGAACUUUGAAAAGAGAGUUAGUUAGUACGUGAAAUUGUUGAAAGGGAAACGAUUGAAGUCAAUCGUGCUAGUGAGAAAUCAACUUGGGGGGUUUUGGGUUCUUAAGUUGCGGUAGGGUUAAACCACCUUUCUCUUGAACUCUGAGCUUUUCGGGUGUACUUUCUCUUUGGCAGGUCAGCGUCGAUUUUGGGGGUUGUAAAAUAACUGGGGAAAUGUAGCUCCCUUCGGGGAGUGUUAUAGACCCUGGGGGGUGCAGCCCGCGGGAUCGAGGAUUGCAGCAAAUGCUUUUGGCUUGUCGCCUAUCCGCUGGGUGUUACCCCGCUUGUGACAACAUUCUUGACACUUUGUGGGACUUGACAGUCACAGGUUAGAGCGUUCUGAAAUUUGCUAAGGAUGCUGACGUAAUGGCUUUAAACGACCCGUCUUGAAACACGGACCAGGGAG